rnacentral:snRNA from 1 species
AGCUUUGCGCAGUGGCAGUAUCGUAGUCAAUGAGGUUAAUCCGAGGCGCGGUUAUUGCUAAUUGAAUUCCCCCCCCCCCAAUUAUU